rnacentral:rRNA from 1 species
GACGAACGCUGGCGGCGUGCUUAACACAUGCAAGUCGAACGGAAAGGCCCCUUUGGGGGUCCUCGAGUGGCGCACGGGUGAGUAACACGUGCGUAACCUGCCCUUGACUUCGGGAUAACUUCAGGAAACUGGGGCUAAUACCGGAUAGGAAUCCUUGCUGCAUGGUGGGGGUUGGAAAGCUUCGGCGGUUUUGGAUGGACUCGCGGCUUAUCAGCUUGUUGGUGGGGUAGUGGCUUACCAAGGCUUUGACGGGUAGCCGGCCUGAGAGGGCGACCGGCCACAUUGGGACUGAGAGACGGCCCAGACUCCUACGGGAGGCAGCAGUGGGGAAUAUUGCACAAUGGGCGGAAGCCUGAUGCAGCAACGCCGCGUGCGGGAUGACGGCCUUCGGGUUGUAAACCGCUUUCAGCAGGGGCGAAGCUUGUGGUGACGGUACCUUCAGAAGAAGCACCGGCUAACUACGUG